UAUUGGGCGUAAAGCGUCCUCAGGCGGUCUUGUAAGUCUGUCGUUAAAGCGUGGAGCUUAACUCCAUUUGAGCGAUGGAAACUGCAAGACUAGAGUGUAGUAGGGGUAGCAGGAAUUCCCAGUGUAGCGGUGAAAUGCGUAGAGAUUGGGAAGAACAUCGGAGGCGAAAGCGUGCUACUGGGCUGUAUCUGACACUCAGGGACGAAAGCUAGGGGGGCGAAAGGGAUUAGAUACCCCUGUAGUCCUAGCCGUAAACGAUGGAUACUAGGCGUGGCUUGUAUCGACCCGAGCCGUGCCGAAGCUAACGCGUUAAGUAUCCCGCCUGGGGAGUACGCACGCAAGUGUGAAACUCAAAGGAAUUGACGGGGGCCCGCACAAGCGGUGGAGUAUGUGGUU
rnacentral:rRNA from 1 species